rnacentral:RNase_P_RNA from 1 species
GUGAUGGGUCGCCUCACCGCGGCGUCCGACGCAAGAAGGACGACGAGGAAAGUCCGGGCAACGCAGAGCACCCUGCUUCCUAACGGGAAGGACUGGCCAGUAUCAUGCGAACCAGGACAGCCAGUGCCACAGAAAAUAACCGCCCUUAUUUGAGUUAUGAAUUAUGAGUUAUGAGUUGUCGUUCGGCUAAUUCAUAGCUCAUAAUUCAUAACUCAUAAUUCCAAAAAGGGUAAGGGUGAAAAGGUGCGGUAAGAGCGCACCAGCGGGCGGGUGACCGUUCCGGCUGGGUAAACCUCAGGGGUUGAAAGACCAAAUAAGCUGGUAGGCCGGCGCUUCUUCGGAAGCAUCGGCACCGGGCGGCUCGUCCGGCGCCAGCGGGUAGGUUGAUGGAGCCUUUCGGCAACGACUGGCCUAGAUAAAUGGUGAGGCAGUGGCUUCGGCCACGGACAAAACCCGGCUUACAGACCCAUCACCCAA